CCUACGGGCUGCAGCAGUGAGGAAUAUUGGUCAAUGGACGAGAGUCUGAACCAGCCAAGUAGCGUGAAGGAUGACUGCCCUAUGGGUUGUAAACUUCUUUUAUAAAGGAAUAAAACGAGGCACGUGUGCCUUUUUGCAUGUACUUUAUGAAUAAGGAUCGGCUAACUCCGUGCCAGCAGCCGCGGUAAUACGGAGGAUCCGAGCGUUAUCCGGAUUUAUUGGGUUUAAAGGGAGCGUAGAUGGGUUGUUAAGUCAGUUGUGAAAGUUUGCGGCUCAACCGUAAAAUUGCAAUUGAUACUGGCAGUCGUGAGUACAGUUGAGGUAGGCGGAAUUCGUGGUGUAGCGGUGAAAUGCUUAGAUAUCACGAAGAACCCCGAUUGCGAAGGCAGCUUACUAAACUGUGACUGACAUUGAUGCUCGAAAGUGUGGGUAUCAAACAGGAUUAGAUACCCUUGUAGUC
rnacentral:rRNA from 1 species